rnacentral:rRNA from 1 species
GAUGAACGCUGGCGGCGUGCCUAAUACAUGCAAGUCGAGCGAACAGACGAGGAGCUUGCUCCUCUGACGUUAGCGGCGGACGGGUGAUUCACACGUGGAUAACCUACCUAUAAGACUGGGAUAACUUCGGGAAACCGGAGCUAAUACCGGAUAACAUGUUGAACCGCAUGGUUUAACAGUGAAAGACGGUCUUGCUGUCACUUAUAGAUGGCUCCGCGCCGCAUUAGCUAGUUGGUAAGGUAACGGCUUACCAAGGCAACGAUGCGUAGCCGACCUGAGCGGGUGAUCGGCAAGACUGGAAGUGAGACACGGCCCAGACUCCUACGGGAGGCAGCAGUAGGGAAUCUUCCGCAAAGGGCGAAAGCCUGACGGAGCAACGCCGCGUGAGUGAAGAAGGUCUUCGGAUCGUAAAACUCUGUUAUUAGGGAAGAACAAAUGUGUAAGUAACUAUGCACGUCUUGACGGUACCUAAUCAGAAAGCCACGGCUAACUACGUG